UACAGGGGGUGCAAACGUUGCUCGGAAUCAUUGGGCGUAAAGCACUCGUAGGCGGUCUGUUAUGUCGGAUGUGAAAGCCCUUGGCUCAACUGAGGAAGUGCAUCCGAAACUGGCAGGCUAGAGUACUAAAGAGGAUCGCGGAAUUCCCGGUGUAGAGGUGAAAUUCGUAGAUAUCGGGAGGAACACCGGUGGCGAAGGCGGCGAUCUGGGUAGAUACUGACGCUGAGGUGCGAAAGCGUGGGGAGCAAACAGG
rnacentral:rRNA from 1 species